rnacentral:rRNA from 1 species
UACGGGGGGGGCAAGCGUUGUUCGGAAUUACUGGGCGUAAAGGGCUCGCAGGCGGCCGACUAAGUCAGACGUGAAAUCCCUUGGCUUAACCAAGGAAUGGCGUCUGAUACUGGACGGCUUGAAUCCGGGAGAGGGAUGUGGAAUUCCAGGUGUAGCGGUGAAAUGCGUAGAUAUCGUCUGGAACGCCGAAGGUGAAAACAGCUCGCUGGGAUUGUGCUGACGCUGAGACACGAAAGCCAGGGGAGCGAACGGG